CCUACGGGGGGCAGCAGUGGGGAAUAUUGGACAAUUGGGGCAACCCUGAUCCAGCCAUGCCGCGUGUGUGAAGAAGGCCCUCGGGUUGUAAAGCACUUUCAGUGAGGAAGAACGCCUGGUGGUUAAUACCCAUCAGGAAAGACAUCACUCACAGAAGAAUCACCGGCUAACUCCGUGCCAGCAGCCGCGGUAAUACGGAGGGUGCGAGCGUUAAUCGGAAUUACUGGGCGUAAAGCGCGCGUAGGUGGCUUGAUAAGCCGGUUGUGAAAGCCCCGGGCUCAACCUGGGAACGGCAUCCGGAACUGUCAAGCUAGAGUGCAGGAGAGGAAGGUAGAAUUCCCGGUGUAGCGGUGAAAUGCGUAGAGAUCGGGAGGAAUACCAGUGGCGAAGGCGGCCUUCUGGACUGACACUGACACUGAGGUGCGAAAGCGUGGGUAGCAAACAGGAUUAGAUACCCCUGUAGUC
rnacentral:rRNA from 1 species